UACGUAGGGCGCGAGCGUUAUCCGGAAUUAUUGGGCGUAAAGAGCUCGUAGGCGGUUUGUCACGUCUGCUGUGAAAACUGGAGGCUCAACCUCCAGCCUGCAGUGGGUACGGGCAGACUAGAGUGCGGUAGGGGAGAUUGGAAUUCCUGGUGUAGCGGUGGAAUGCGCAGAUAUCAGGAGGAACACCGAUGGCGAAGGCAGAUCUCUGGGCCGUAACUGACGCUGAGGAGCGAAAGCUAGGGGAGCGAACGGG
rnacentral:rRNA from 1 species